AGUAAAUAGAUACCCAGGUAGUCCACGCUGUAAACGAUGGGUACUAGGUCAGGUGGGUAUUGACCCCUGCCGGACCGGAGCUAAACGCAAAUAAGUACCCCGCCUGGGAAGUACGGUCGCAAGACUAAAACCUCAAAGGAAUUGACGGGGGUCCCGCACAAGCGGUGGAUCAUGUGGUUUAAUUCGAAGCAACGCGAAGAACCUUACCUGGGUUUGACAUCCCUCGACAGUCGUAGAAACUACGAUCUUGUAGCAAUACAACGGGGUAGACAGGUGCUGCAUGGCUGUCGUCAGCUCGUGUGGUGACAUGUUGGGUUAACGUCCCGCAA
rnacentral:rRNA from 1 species